UGGGGAAUUUUGGACAAUGGGCGAAANCCUGAUCCAGCAAUGCCGCGUGUGUGAAGAAGGCCUUCGGGUUGUAAAGCACUUUUGUCCGGAAAGAAAUCCUUGGCUCUAAUACAGUCGGGGGAUGACGGUACCGGAAGAAUAAGCACCGGCUAACUACGUGCCAGCAGCCGCGGUAAUACGUAGGGUGCAAGCGUUAAUCGGAAUUACUGGGCGUAAAGCGUGCGCAGGCGGUUUGCUAAGACCGAUGUGAAAUCCCCGGGCUCAACCUGGGAACUGCAUUGGUGACUGGCAGGCUAGAGUAUGGCAGAGGGGGGUAGAAUUCCACGUGUAGCAGUGAAAUGCGUAGAGAUGUGGAGGAAUACCGAUGGCGAAGGCAGCCCCCUGGGCCAAUACUGACGCUCAUGCACGAAAGCGUGGGGAGCAAACAGGAUUAGAUACCCUGGUAGUCCACGCCCUAAACGAUGUCAACUAGUUGUUGGGGAUUCAUUUCCUUAGUAACGUAGCUAACGCGUGAAGUUGACC
rnacentral:rRNA from 1 species